rnacentral:misc_RNA from 1 species
CAAUCGACAAUCAGCGAGAUGCGAUCCGCGACUUUGCGGAUGGUCUCGGCUAUGAGAUCGUAGCUACGUAUGAGGAUUCUGGCCGGAGCGGACUAAAUCUUGAAGGCCGCGCGGGCCUGCAACGCCUCCUUACAGAUAUCGAAGGUGGGAACGCCGACUUCGAGGUUGUUCUCGAUACGACGUCAGCCGUUGGGGACGAUUUCAAAACAUUGAUGAAAGCGCUUCCUACGAAUUCCGAUGCCA